GGAGGAGCUGAAAAUUUAUCAUUCUGAGCAACAAAACUACAAUGUGGCCCCGCAAAAUGCUUCUACCAGCUAAAUCCCUGUGAAGAAAUAUGUUCGUUGUUUCUAAAUUUUGGUACAAUUUUGUUGCAUGUUGUUGUCAGCAUUUCUGUUUUCUUGGCCUUGUUUUCCCUGCCAAGUUCCACUCAAAGAUCAGCUUGGAUCACCAAAAUUCGAGUUUGUGCAUACCUAUUUGGUUGUUGGUUCUGAAUUUCGUCCACUGUGUUUCGUUUAACCGCCAUUAUUUUUCUUAUUUGUUCCUUGGUGAUUCUUUUCGUUCUUGACUUACCUGCAGUUCUUCAGAAAUCCUUCUGUGUUGCUUUGAGCGUGUCGUUUUCAUUCCUACUCACAAUUAUCCUUUUCAUUUCUUCAUUAUUUUGCAUGUGGUUUCCUUUCUAUAUAUAAGUUUUAUAGUCCCGUUAUCUUUAUAUAAGUUUUCAUCUCAUAGCGCGUUCUUUAAUAGACCAAUUUAUGCCUUUUGUGUGUUUGUUUCCUAAAGCACAAGCAUCCUGUCUUCUUAAUGUUUUAUUCAUACCCACAUGUUGGUUUUUAUUAACUUUCUGCUUCAGAUCCUCGUAUAGUGUAUAGAUCGUGUAUAUUUGUUUGCGUUUCCAUUGUGAAAAUAUCGCUUUGGACGCCGGUCACCUGGACGAUUGGUGGCUUCAUUGCCUCCCUUAGCGUUCUUAGAAGGGGUUGUCAGAAGCCUUUGGGAGAUCAACAAACAGAUGCUGUACUGCUUUCUUUUAAUCACUUGUGGUCUUAUGUGCGAUAUUUCCUUUGAAAUAAUCUGGUUACUGGUAAAAUGUUAAGCUUAUCACAAAAAUAUUUCGCUUAGUUACAGAUGUCCUGUGGAUGCCUAGAGAUAUUUUUGCCUAAGAAUAAUUAGUUAAUCACCUAGUAGCGCCUAUGUAGCUUCGGCCAGACGUCGAACCGCUACAUCGUUUUUCAAGUAAGUCUGAUCGUAAUUGCUGUGUAUCCACACUUGAGCCACUUGGACCGUUUGGACGUUGCCCGAGUUGGCAGUACUGUAAACCCCCAUCGAAACACUCACACUUGUUCUGAAAAAAAUGCGAAUGUGUUCUGAAUUGGUGCCGAAUUCUCCUGGAUUUCCUGCAAACUUACAAGUUGGUUACUUUAUGAGCGGCCGUCAAGACAUGGUAUUGAUCGAGCAAAACACCUCCUCCAGCAUAACCGUUCCUCACACCCACGUUGUUGUUAUUGAUGAGAAAAGCUUGCCAAGGAAAGGCGUUUUGAGUGGCAAUUCCAUCUUGAGUACUGGGCUGCGUUGAGGGAGUUCCACAUGUAACCAAAGUACACCUGAUGUAUCCAGAGGAACAAUCUGAACCUUGAGCGUUGGCGCACCUGGUGCAGAACCUCCACCUCCACUUGGAGGAGCACCUCCUCCUCCACCGCCUCCACCACCUCCAUUAGGAAAAGCGCCUCCUCCACCGCCUCCAC